rnacentral:rRNA from 1 species
AGAGUUUGAUCAUGGCUCAGGACGAACGCUGGCGGCGUGCUUAACACAUGCAAGUCGAACGAGAAGAGAUGAGAAGCUUGCUUCUUAUUAAUUCGAGUGGCAAACGGGUGAGUAACGCGUAAGCAACCUGCCCUUCAGAUGGGGACAACAGCUGGAAACGGCUGCUAAUACCGAAUACGUUCUUUUUGUCGCAUGGCAGAGGGAAGAAAGGGAGGCUCUUCGGAGCUUUCGCUGAAGGAGGGGCUUGCGUCUGAUUAGCUAGUUGGCGGGGUAACGGCCCACCAAGGCGACGAUCAGUAGGGGUUCUGAGAGGAAGGUCCCCCACAUUGGAACUGAGACACAGUCCAAACUCCUACGGGAGGCAGCA